AACGAGAGAGAAAGGAGAAAGUAUCGAUUCGUUGAUUUCGGUUUUUUUUUUUUUUUUUUUUUUUUUGCUUUUUCCUC
rnacentral:ribozyme from 1 species